rnacentral:rRNA from 1 species
UGGGGAAUAUUGCACAAUGGGGGAAACCCUGAUGCAGCCAUGCCGCGUGUAUGAAGAAGGCCUUCGGGUUGUAAAGUACUUUCAGUCGUGAGGAAGGGUGUGCAGUUAAUAGCUGUAUAUUUUGACGUUAGCGACAGAAGAAGCACCGGCUAACUCCGUGCCAGCAGCCGCGGUAAUACGGAGGGUGCGAGCGUUAAUCGGAAUUACUGGGCGUAAAGCGCAUGCAGGCGGUUAGUUAAGCGAGAUGUGAAAGCCCGGGGCUCAACCUCGGAACAGCAUUUCGAACUGGCUAACUAGAGUCUUGUAAAGGGGGGUAGAAUUUCAGGUGUAGCGGUGAAAUGCGUAGAGAUCUGAAGGAAUACCGGUGGCGAAGGCGGCCCCCUGGACAAAGACUGACGCUCAGAUGCGAAAGCGUGGGGAGCAAACAGGAUUAGAUACCCUGGUAGUCCACGCCGUAAACGAUGUCUACUUGGAGGUUGUGGCCUUGAGCCGUGGCUUUCGGAGCUAACGCGUUAAGUAGACCGCCUGGGGAGUACGGUCGCAAGAUUAAAACUCAAAUGAAUUGACGGGGGCCCGCACAAGCGGUGGAGCAUGUGGUUUAAUUCGAUGCAACGCGAAGAACCUUACCUACUCUUGACAUCCAGAGAAGCCAGCGGAGAGCGCAGGUGUGCCUUCGGGAGCUCUGAGA